CAGGAAGAUUGAAAGGGGCUGCUCCUAGUACGAGAGGACCGGAGUGGACGCACCGCUGGUGUACGGGUUGUCAUGCCAAUGGCAUAGCCCGGUAGCUAAGUGCGGGAGAGAUAACCGCUGAAAGCAUCUAAGCGGGAAACUUGCCUUGAGAUGAGUCUUCCCUUGACUUGAGGUCACGGAAGGAACGUUUAAGACGAAGACGUGGAUAGGCUGGGUGUGUAAGUGCAGCGAUGCAUUGAGCUGACCAGUACUAAUGAACCGAGAGGCUUAACCUUA
rnacentral:rRNA from 1 species